rnacentral:rRNA from 1 species
UACGAGGGGGGCAAGCGUUGUUCGGAAUUAUUGGGCGUAAAGGGCGCGUAGGCGGUGCGGUAAGUCACCUGUGAAAACUCUGGGCUCAACUCAGAGCCUGCAGGCGAAACUGCCGUGCUUGAGUGUGGGAGAGGUGCGUGGAAUUCCCGGUGUAGCGGUGAAAUGCGUAGAUAUCAAGAGGAACACCUGAGGUGAAGACGGGUUGCUGGGCCAACACUGACGCUGAGGCGCGAAAGCCAGGGGAGCAAACGGG